AACCGUAUAACUUUUAAAGUUACACAAUCUACGAUAGUAGAGUGAAUUCACUUUACUAUCGUAAAUAGUCACUGCACGAUUUGAAAAUUCAGUUUACGUUCGACGAUGUCGAUGAACUACACUACGAUAGUAGAGUGAAUUCACUCUACUAUCGUGAACUACUAUUGUACUGUGUAACUUUAAAAUUUACACAGUUGUGCCCCUCUAUUUUUACCACAUAAAUAAUUAUCCGAAAAAAAAUGUUUAAAUUAAGUACAUCUUUCAAAUAUAUAUAAGAUGUAAUAUGUAAUUUAUUUUCUCUUUAAGAAUGUAUAUACAGAACUAAAGGUCUCAUAUAUGUAUAUAUGCAUGUAUGACAUUCUAGUUUGUUUGUUUGGCUCAAUAUUAAUUUGCUGAUUCUUUUGGUGCAUCUGCUAUUCUUCUCCCUCUUUCUCUCAUGUUUUUCCUUUUCCAUUUCGGUGAAUUUUACAGGCAUAUACAAAUAAGCUAGAGCUAAAAGUUGCCAGUUUAAUGGAAGAAAAUGCCAGGCUCAAAAAACAGCAACAACAGGUAUAUCAAAGCCCAGCUCCUUUUUGUAGUAUGGAAUGCGAUCAUAUCAAAGUCAUUUUAAUUUCCAAAUUGAGCUUUGAACUUUGUAUGUACUUUAAAUUGACUUGUACAUCUCUCUCUAGAUCUCUCUCUCUCUGUAUAUAUAUGUAUAUAAAUAUAUGUAACAAAAUUGCAUGUGUUGUUGACUAUAUAUAAUUAAUCACAUCUAUAUAUUUUGGGGAUGCAUGUAGCUAUGUGUAGCAGCAGGUGUUCAACUACCAAAGAAGCACACUCUUCAGCGAACGUCAACUGCUCCAUUUUGACAACUUAUUCUCUCAAAAGAAGAGAAAUUAUUUAUUUUAUAUAUAUAUUUGUUUGUAUGUUUGAUUUGAUUAGAUGGGUGUUUAAUUGUUUUCCAUAGCUACCAUAUAUAUAUAUAUAUAUAUAUAUUUGUAUGUAAACAUUGAAUUGGAUGAUGCAUCAUGCAUGAGUAAGUAGCUAGUAAAGGAUCUAGAUGGCAUGCAUACUGGAUCUAGAUGGCAUCAUUCCACCACCACCACCGCAUGCAUAUAUAUCACACUACAACUGCAACCCUCAAUAAACAGUGCCACUUUUCUCAAUCGAUCCAUCGUCUGAAGACUUUGAAGAAAAAUUAAUUCCUCCUGGUUUCAUUUUGCGUUGGUGUCAAUCUGCAGGUGUUCUAUGAAGAAUGUAGCUAGAAAUUAAGUGAUAGAAAAUGUUAAUAAAGAGAUCAGAAGGAGAGGGAGAGAGUAAGUAAUGUAUGAGUCUACACUAUUACAACCUCUUAAUGCAUGCAUUAAGAUAUGAACGAUGUAAUCAAGCAUUACCUAAUUUAAAUUUAUGACGUCUUCGUCAGAAUCCAAUCCGAG
rnacentral:lncRNA from 1 species